rnacentral:rRNA from 1 species
UAACAAAAACAUUUCUAUUAGAUUUCAUUAAUAGUAUAAUCUGCUCAAUGAUAUUAAAUAGCCGCUAUUACUGUGCUAAGGUAGCAUAAUCAUUUGUCUUUUAAUUAAAGACUAGAACAAAAGAUUGAACAUUUUAAUUAAUAUAUCCUAACUAAUUAAUUAAAUUUAUUUUAAAUGUAAAAAAACAUUUAUAAAUUAGAAAGACGAUAAGACCCUAUUAAACUUAACUUAAGUUAAACUGGGGCAGUUAAUUAAUUAUCAUUUUAAUUUAAAUACAAAAACAAAUAGAUCCUAUAAAAUAGAUUAAAUGAUCAAGUUACUAUAGGGAUAACAGCGUAAUAUUAAUUAAAAGACCUUAUUAAAAUAAAAGAUUACGACCUCGAUGUUGAAUUAAUAACCUAUAUAGUUGCAAUAAACAAUAAAGG